rnacentral:rRNA from 1 species
GACGUAGGGGGCCAGCGUUGUUCGGAAUUACUGGGUGUAAAGGGUUCGUAGGCGGUGUGGCAAGUCGGGAGUGAAAUCUCUGGGCUCAACUCAGAGACUGCUUCCGAAACUGCUGUGCUGGAGUGUGGGAGAGGCGCGUGGAAUUGCAGGUGUAGCGGUGAAAUGCGCAGAUAUCAGGAGGAACACCGAUGGCGAAGGCAGGUCUCUGGGCCACUACUGACGCUGAGAAGCGAAAGCAUGGGGAGCGAACAGG